rnacentral:lncRNA from 1 species
UGGGUAAAGCGCAUUGAGGCAAGAGUCUUACAAAGGGGGAGAUGUAGACCCAACAAGAUCACAUCUGGACGUCUGCAUUUGACAUUACUGAAACACCUCCGUAAAGCACCACAAGCAUACAGAAAGGAGGUACAGCAAUAUCGACGCCGGCUCCUGACCUGCGGUAGCACGGGCAAACCCACACAACGAUAUUCUCGCAUUGACAGCAGAAUCUCCCUGAGCGGUAGCUUUAUGAGGUGCACCGUCUUAAGAGGUGCUGAAGACAGACGGCUUUGA